UUUUUUUGAACUGAAAGCGGGAUAUCAAUUAUCACAUCUAGGGUUCUGAUUCUGAUUCUGAACUUUGCUCCCCAAAAUCUCUAGAAGCAUCACCUCCGCUCCACCAUCACUAUUCGAAUCAUCCUCCAUUCCACCAUCAUUAAUCGAAUCAUCCUCUGAUCCAAAACCCUAAUUGCUCCCAAAAGUGGCGACCGUUGGACUUCAGCAAUGAGUUAAUGAUUUCUUAGGGUUCGGUUUGUUGUGAACUAUGACCAACAUCUUGUUUUUCUUAAUCAAAGUAGUCUGAUGUUGAUAUCUACGAAGGCCGGAUCGUAUUCAAGCUAGGAAAAAUUUGAAUAUUAUGUUUCGAUAUAUGGCGGUUUCGGAUGAAAGACAAUGGCUCAUGCCAACGUUUGAAGAUCGCGAAAAGGCUUGGAGAAGUUUAUGGGAGUGAUGGAUAAAGUCAACAACUGGAGGAAAGCUUUAGCCGCAAUUGCUAAUAUAUACAGCUGGCUGGCAUAUCACGGCCGACAGCGGGGGUAUAGACUCUCGAGUGGAUGCAUUAAAAUCAUUACUGAGUUUGGAAGCAACACAUGAGGCGCGCAUGAUAGGGAUAUCUGGAAUGGGAGGGAUCGCAAAGACGACUAUGAACUUUGUUUAGAAAAAUUGUAUAUACAGGGGUGAAUCUGCAUUUAUCGACAAGAUUUAGGAAUAAAAGGGUUCUUCUUGUCCUUGAUGAUGUGGAUGUUUCUGGGUUUUUUUAUGAGCUAAGGAGAUUUUGCUAAUCAGUAAUAAACAAUAUAAUAGAAGAACAUGAAGCCGAUGGCGACGGGUUACUUCUGAACAUUACAAAUGUCCCGAUGAACCUUAAAAUGACUAUGCUUCAAUUUGAUGUUCACUGUGCAGCACCAACUUCAUAUCUCGAUAUUGACUUUUGUCCAAAUAUUAUUUCUCGUUACUUUAUAUCAAUAUUCAAUUUAACUGAAAUGCUAGAUACAUUUGUUACUUUUGGGCUAUUGAUACAAGAGUUAAUCGUGUGGAUUUCCAGGCAUUGAUAGGUGGAGAUGAUGCCUACUUUGUGGCUGGCAGCAAAUGGCUAGGGGUGGCUAGUGGAGUUUGCCAGUGGUCAUUUGAAGGCACUAGUUCAGGAGUUUACGCCCAAGAGCUCAUGAAGACUUGUGAAGAGAUUGUGUUGGAUACCUGCAGUGUUCCAGUGACUAACCCUUUUAAACUUCUUUGUGUAAAGAAGGGAUCUUUUUGGAGCUCAGAGCAUUGUCAUUAACAAGCCUCGUUUCCGGUAAGGAAUACUGACUGUUGGAGAAUCAUGUCUGCUCCUGAUGAGAAUAAAACGUCUAAUCAUACACAAGUUUGAUAAGGAAAAAGAUGAAGAAAAAGAAAGGUUCAAUGGAAUUAUUGCGGGGUUGUUGGCUGAAAAAGAAAAAGAUAAGAUGGAUAAAGAUGCUAUGCUUGAUAGGAUGUCGCAAAUUAAAGCUAUGUUAACCGAUGCAGUUCGAAGAUAGGCUAUAAACACUUGGUUUUGAAUGUUUAGAUGUUUAUCUUAUUAGGAAAAUUUUAGUUAUUUUAUGUUUUAGUUGGUAUUUAUUAUAUGCUUUUGAAAAUGAUAUGUUUUAUAUAAUUUUUGGAUUUUAUUAGACCUUUUUAUAUUAUUUUGUAGUUUUAUUAA